rnacentral:rRNA from 1 species
CCCUUGUCUUUUGCGUACUUCUUGUUUCCUUGGUGGGUUCGCCCACCACUAGGACAAACAUAAACCUUUUGUAAUUGCAAUCAGCGUCAGUAACAAAUUAAUAAUUACAACUUUCAACAACGGAUCUCUUGGUUCUGGCAUCGAUGAAGAACGCAGCGAAAUGCGAUAAGUAGUGUGAAUUGCAGAAUUCAGUGAAUCAUCGAAUCUUUGAACGCACAUUGCGCCCUUUGGUAUUCCAAAGGGCAUGCCUGUUCGAGCGUCAUUUGUACCCUCAAGCUUUGCUUGGUGUUGGGCGUCUUGUCUCUAGCUUUGCUGGAGACUCGCCUUAAAGUAAUUGGCAGCCGGCCUACUGGUUUCGGAGCGCAGCACAAGUCGCACUCUCUAUCAGCAAAGGUCUAGCAUCCAUUAAGCCUUUUUUCAACUUUUGACCUCGGAUCAGGUAGGGAUACCCGCUGAACUUAAGCAUAUCA